UACGGAAUGUGCAAACGUUAUUCGGAAUCACUGGGCUUAAAGAGUCCGUAGGCGGCAGGUUAGGUGAGGUGUGAAAUCCCCCGGCUCAACCGAGGAAUUGCGCUUCAAACCGGCGUGCUUGAGGAAGAUAGAGGUGGGCGGAACUGAUGGUGGAGCGGUGAAAUGCGUAGAUAUCAUCUGGAACGCCAAUGGUGAAGACAGCUCGCUGGGGGUGUACUGACACUGAGACACGAAAGCCAGGGGAGCAAACGGG
rnacentral:rRNA from 1 species